GACGAACGCUGGCGGCGUGCCUAAUACAUGCAAGUUGAGCGCUGAAGGUUGGUACUUGUACCAACUGGAUGAGCAGCGAACGGGUGAGUAACGCGUGGGGAAUCUGCCUUUGAGCGGGGGACAACAUUUGGAAACGAAUGCUAAUACCGCAUAAAAACUUUAAACACAAGUUUUAAGUUUGAAAGAUGCAAUUGCAUCACUCAAAGAUGAUCCCGCGUUGUAUUAGCUAGUUGGUGAGGUAAAGGCUCACCAAGGCGAUGAUACAUAGCCGACCUGAGAGGGUGAUCGGCCACAUUGGGACUGAGACACGGCCCAAACUCCUAUGGGAGGCAGCAGUAGGGAAUCUUCGGCAAUGGACGAAAGUCUGACCGAGCAACGCCGCGUGAGUGAAGAAGGUUUUCGGAUCGUAAAAAUCUGUUGGUAGAGAAGAACGUUGGUGAGAGUGGAAAGCUCAUCAAGUGACGGUAACUACCCAGAAAGGGACGGCUAACUACGUG
rnacentral:rRNA from 1 species